AUUGAACGCUGGCGGCAGGCCUAACACAUGCAAGUCGAACGAGUGGCGGACGGGUGAGUAAUGUCUGUGAAACUGCCUGUAGGACGGGGAUAUCUUCUGGAAACGGUGGCUAAUACCGCAUACCAUCGGAUGUGCCCAGAUGGGAUGAGCUAGUAGGUGGGGUAACGGCUCACCUAGGCGACGAUCCCUAGCUGGUCUGAGAGGAUGAUCAGCCACACUGGAACUGAGACACGGUCCAGACUCCUACGGGAGGCAGCAGUGGGGAAUAUUGCACAAUGGGCGCAAGCCUGAUGCAGCCAUGCCGCGUGUAUGAAGAAGGCCUUCGGGUUGUAAAGUACUUUCAGCGAGGAGGCGUUACUCGCAGAAGAAGCACCGGCUAACUCCGUGCCAGCCGCCGCGGUAAUUC
rnacentral:rRNA from 1 species